GCGCCGUAUUAGCUAGUUGGUGGGGUAACGGCCUACCAAGGCGACGAUACGUAGCCGACCUGAGAGGGUGAUCGGCCACACUGGAACUGAGACACGGUCCAGACUCCUACGGGAGGCAGCAGUAGGGAAUCUUCCGCAAUGGGCGAAAGCCUGACGGAGCAACGCCGCGUGAGUGAUGAAGGUCUUCGGAUCGUAAAGCUCUGUUGUUAGGGAAGAACAAAUGUGUAAGUAACUGUGCACAUCUUGACGGUACCUAACCAGAAAGCCACGGCUAACUACGUGCCAGCAGCCGCGGUAAUACGUAGGUGGCAAGCGUUAUCCGGAAUUAUUGGGCGUAAAGCGCGCGUAGGCGGUUUUUUAAGUCUGAUGUGAAAGCCCACGGCUCAACCGUGGAGGGUCAUUGGAAACUGGAAAACUUGAGUGCAGAAGAGGAAAGUGGAAUUCCAUGUGUAGCGGUGAAAUGCGCAGAGAUAUGGAGGAACACCAGUGGCGAAGGCGGCUUUCUGGUCUGCAACUGACGCUGAUGUGCGAAAGCGUGGGGAUCAAACAGGAUUAGAUACCCUGGUAGUCCACGCCGUAAACGAUGAGUGCUAAGUGUUAGGG
rnacentral:rRNA from 1 species